rnacentral:rRNA from 1 species
CGCAAGCCUGACGGAGCAAGACCGCGUGGGGGAUGACGGCCUAAUGGUUGUAAACCCCUUUUCUCUGGGAAGAAGACUGACGGUACCAGAGGAAUCAGCCUCGGCUAACUCCGUGCCAGCAGCCGCGGUAAUACGGAGGAGGCAAGCGUUAUCCGGAAUUAUUGGGCGUAAAGCGUCCGUAGGUGGUUAUUCAAGUCUGCUGUCAAGGCGUGGGGCUUAACUCCAUAGAGGCAGUGGAAACUGGAUGACUUGAGUGCGGUAGGGGUCGAGGGAAUUCCCAGUGUAGCGGUGAAAUGCGUAGAUAUUGGGAAGAACACCAGUGGCGAAAGCGCUCGACUGGGCCUGCACUGACACUGAGGGACGAAAGCUAGGGGAGCG